UCCUCGAUGGCUCAGUUGGAUAGAGUGUCUGCCAUGUAAGCAGCAGAUCCCAGGUUCAAGUCCUGGUUGGGGAA